UACGAAGGGGGCUAGCGCUGUUCGGAAUCACUGGGCGUAAAGCGCACGUAGGCGGAUCCUUAAGUCAGGGGUGAAAUGCCGAGGCUCAACCUCGGAACUGCCUUUGAUACUGGGGAUCUCGAGUCCGGGAGAGGUGAGUGGAAUUGCGAGUGUAGAGGUGAAAUUCGUAGAUAUUCGCAAGAACACCAGUGGCGAAGGCGGCUCACUGGCCCGGUACUGACGCUGAGGUGCGAAAGCGUGGGGAGCAAACAGG
rnacentral:rRNA from 1 species